UACGGGGGGGGCAAGCGUUGUUCGGAAUUACUGGGCGUAAAGGGCUCGUAGGCGGCCAACUAAGUCGGAUGUGAAAUCCCCAGGCUCAACUUGGGAACUGCAUCCGAUACUGGAUGGCUUGAAUUCGGGAGAGGGAUGCAGAAUUCCAGGUGUAGCGGUGAAAUGCGCAGAUAUCAGGAGGAACACCAAUGGCGAAGGCAGCUCGCUGGGACGGUACUGACGCUGAGGCGCGAAAGCGUGGGGAGCAAACAGG
rnacentral:rRNA from 1 species